CCUACGGGUGGCAGCAGUGGGGAAUAUUGCACAAUGGGGGAAACCCUGAUGCAGCGACGCCGCGUGAGUGAAGAAGUAUUUCGGUAUGUAAAGCUCUAUCAGCCGGGAAGAAAAAAGACGGUACCUGACUAAGAAGCCCCGGCUAACUACGUACCAGCAGCCGCGGUAAUACGUAGGGGGCAAGAGUUAGCCGGAUUUACUGGGUGUAAAGGGAGCGUAGGCGGCGCGGCAAGUCUGAAGUGAAAGGCAGGGGCUUAACCCCUGAACUGCUUUUGAAACUGGCAUGCUAGAGUGCUGGGGAGGUAAGUGGAAUUCGUAGUGUAGCGGUGAAAUGCGUAGAUAUGAGGAGGAACACCAGUUGCGAAGGCGGCUUACUGGACAGUAACUGACGUUGAGGCUCGAAAGCGUGGGGAGCAAACAGGAUUAGAUACCCCAGUAGUC
rnacentral:rRNA from 1 species